rnacentral:lncRNA from 7 species
AGAGAUUUCAGCCACUAGAUAGGUAAAGGCAAUUCUUAAGUGCCCAUUUCCAUGUUUGUCCUCCGAAGCACCUAAUAACAAUGCAAAGCUGGUGGUGGAGCCAGGACAGACAUCUACUCCAUGAGAAAGAAUUGCUGGGAUUCAUGCCCCAGGAGCAUACGGAUAAGAAGUUUUGCUGGUCAGCUCAUGAGCAAAUACUCGUGCUAGCAAGUGGUUGGUGAAAGCUGCAAAAAGUACUCUCUGAUAAAACUCAAGAGCUCUUGGAUACAGGGCUCCAUCUAUCAGGAUAAGCUUCUCCUAAAGCCUGAACCUACACAUGGGAGAUGGAGAGUGCUUGUUUUCAAUGUGGGAGAAGAUUUUCCCCCUUCCAGCAGCUCUCAGUCAGCAGCUUCAGCCUACCUGCUCUACAGGAGAAGGACGUUGAACAAGAGCAGACAGGAGCUCCUUCCCCUCCACCAGCAAACAGGUGUGGGGUUAUUCAUCCAGCCCGCAGGCAGCUUCCAGCCCCUACCAGUGACCAGGAACUGUGCUGAUGGGCCAUGGUGUUGCUCAGAACCAAUGCUGGAUGCUUGCAGAGCAAUUGCCUCUUGUGAUCCUGAUGUUUAGCACAGCAGUGUAUGCUGCUCACAGGAAGGUAGCUCUCCAGCUGUGCAACUCUCAUCUAUCCCCUUUUCCCCUACAUCUGUUCUCUGUUGCAACACACACACUUUUCAGAUGUGGUUGGGAAUAAGUCUGCUUGUCGGAGAGUAGCAGCCAAUGUAUUCCUUCCUCAGAUGUCUCCAAUACCAUCAUGAUUAGUACAACAUAGAAGACUCACCAAGGUGUGGCCUUGUCCAUAUAUACAUUGCAGUUUGAUAGGCUUUUAUACUGUUUUAAUUUGCAUUAAGAAACCUCAAAUUAUCUUCCUUCUCUUUUGUGGUUUCUCAAAAUAUCCCUCCCAGAACCUCAGUUUUUCCCACAAGGAGUGCUGGGUUUAAAAGGAGGGCUGACAGCCCCCGUAGGGACCACAAGGUCUGAGAUUUGGUGUCUGUUAACAGCUGGAGCUCAGGAGAUGUGUCUGAACCUUUGUAUUUCAAUAAAGCUAUGAUGUUGCUCACCACCAAAACUAC